GCAUGCAUGGCUGAGUGGUCGAUAGCAACGGACUCAUAAUCCGUAUCCGAAAGGACAUCGCAGGUUCAAACCCUGCUGCAUGCU
rnacentral:tRNA from 1 species